rnacentral:rRNA from 1 species
CGUCUAUAUACGUAUAGCAUAUCAAUAAGCGGAGGAAAAGAAACUAACUAGGAUUCCCUUAGUAACGGCGAGUGAAGCGGGAAGAGCUCAGAUUUGAAAUCUUCAAGGUUCUACCUUGACGAAUUGUAGUUUAUAAGAAGUGUUUUCUGUUAGAUGAGUAGCGAAAAGUUCCUUGGAAUAGGACAUCAUAGAGGGUGAGAAUCCCGUAUUUGGUUAUUCAUUCUAGCUUUGUGAUACACUUUCAAAGAGUCGGAUUGUUUGGGAAUGCAGUCCAAAAUGGGUGGUAAAUUUCAUCUAAAGCUAAAUAUUGGCGAGAGACCGAUAGCGAACAAGUACCGUGAGGGAAAGAUGAAAAGAACUUUGAAAAGAGAGUUAAACAGUACGUGAAAUUGUCAAAAGGGAAGCGUUUGACACCAGUGUUGUUUUUCCGAAAAUCAAUUAUAAAUGUUUUGUUUCUGAGGAGUGAUGACUUCAUCGGCUUCCUUCUCUCUUUACGAAACUUUUGUAAUGCACUUUUCGGUUAACAAGUCAACAUCAAUUUCUUUUGUUGUAAAAGAGUAUUCGGAAGGCGGCUUUCUUUUCGGAGAAAGUGUUUAUAGCCCUAUACUUCUACAAUCGGAGAGAUUGAGGUCUGCAGCGUAGAUCCUUCGGGGUUAGAUACACUUGUGCUAAGUUAUAGCUUUUCAUAGACAACUUGUUGACUAUGUUUAGUCUUGUAGCUUACUCGCUUGUGCUAUUUUACCUACGCUUAGGAUGUUGACUGAUAUGUAGUCGU